AUGCUAAUUUUGGUGGCACAUAUACUAAAUUUGGAACAAUACAGCAAAGAUUUAUAUGGCCCCUGUGCAUGAAUGAUAUAAAAGCAUGUGAAUCAUUAAAAAAAAAA